rnacentral:rRNA from 1 species
UACGGAGGAUGCAAGCGUUAUCCGGAAUGAUUGGGCGUAAAGGGUCCGCAGGUGGCAGUGUAAGUCUGCUGUCAAAGAAUGAGGCUUAACCUCAUCAAGGCAGUGGAAACUACACAGCUAGAGUACGGUCGGGGUAGAAGGAAUUCCUGGUGUAGCGGUGAAAUGCGUAGAGAUCAGGAAGAACACCGGUGGCGAAGGCGGCUACCUGGCCCACUCUUGACGCUGAGGCGCGAAAGCUAGGGGAGCAAACGGG